rnacentral:rRNA from 1 species
ACCAGACUCCUACGGGAGGCAGCAGUGGGGAAUAUUGCACAAUGGGGGAAACCCUGAUGCAGCAACGCCGCGUGAGUGAAGAAGUAUUUCGGUAUGUAAAGCUCUAUCAGCAGGGAAGAGAAUGACGGUAUCUGACUAAGAAGCCCCGGCUAACUACGUGCCAGCAGCCGCGGUAAUACGUAGGGGGCGAGCGUUAUCCGGAUUCACUGGGUGUAAAGGGAGCGUAGACGGCCAUGCAAGCCAGGGGUGAAAGCCCGGGGCCCAACCCCGGGACUGCCCUUGGAACUGCAUGGCUGGAGUGCGGGAGGGGCAGGCGGAAUUCCUGGUGUAGCGGUGAAAUGCGUAGAUAUCAGGAGGAACACCGGCGGCGAAGGCGGCCUGCUGGACCGUAACUGACGUUGAGGCUCGAGAGCAUGGGGAGCAAACAGGAUUAGAUACCCCAGUA